rnacentral:misc_RNA from 1 species
AGCAGCCGCGGUAAUUCCAGCUCCAAUAGCGUAUAUUAAAGUUGUUGCAGUUAAAAGCUCGUAGUUGAAUUUCGGGAUUGGCGCAUCGGUCGUGCCUCACGGGGUAUGAACUGGUGCAGUCAAUUUCUCACCUUCUGGAGAACCGCGAUGUCCUUAAUUGGAUGCCGCGGGGAACCAGGACCUUUACUUUGAAAAAAUUGAGUGUUUAAAGCAGGCAUUUUUGCUUGAAUACAUUAGCAUGGAAUAAUAAAAUAGGACGGCAUGGUUCUAUUUUGUUGGUUUCUAGGACCACCGUAAUGAUUAAUAGGGAUAGUUGGGGGCAUUAGUAUUCAAUUGUCAGAGGUGAAAUUCUUGGAUUUAUUGAAGACUAACUACUGCGAAAGCAUUUGCCAAGGAUGUUUUCAUUAAUCAAGAACGAAAGUUAGGGGAUCGAAGACGAUCAGAUACCGUCGUAGUCUUAACCAUAAACUAUGCCGACUAGGAAUCAGACGAUGUUAAUUUUUUAAUGUACUUCGUUUUG